rnacentral:rRNA from 1 species
UAAGUUCCUUGGAACAGGACGUCAUAGAGGGUGAGAAUCCCGUAUGUGACUGGACAGGCACCCUUUGUAAAGCUCCUUCGACGAGUCGAGUUGUUUGGGAAUGCAGCUCUAAAUGGGAGGUAAAUUUCUUCUAAAGCUAAAUACCGGCCAGAGACCGAUAGCGCACAAGUAGAGUGAUCGAAAGAUGAAAAGCACUUUGGAAAGAGAGUUAAAAAGCACGUGAAAUUGUUGAAAGGGAAGGGCUUGCAAUUAGACUUGCCCGCAGUUGUUCAGCUGGUCUUCUGACCGGUUUAUUCUUCUGCGGGCAGGCCAGCAUCAGUUUCGGCGGCCGGAUAAAGGCUCUGGGAAUGUGGCUGUCCUUCGGGGCAGUGUUAUAGCCCAGGGUGUAAUACGGCCAGCCGGGACUGAGGUCCGCGCUUCGGCUAGGAUGCUGGCGUAAUGAUUGUAAGCCGCCCGUCUUGAAACACGGAC